rnacentral:rRNA from 1 species
UCCGUAGGCGGGUAAUUAAGUCAGAGGUGAAAUCCCACAGCUUAACUGUGGAACUGCCUUAGAUACUGGUUAUCUUGAGUUUUAGUGAAGUAGAUAGAAUGUGUAGUGUAGCGGUGAAAUGCAUAGAUAUUACACGGAAUACCGAUUGCGAAGGCAGUCUACUAACUAACAACUGACGCUAAUGGACGAAAGCGUGGGGAGCGAACAGGAUUAGAUACCUGGUAGUC